CACUGUAACAAUAGAGAUUAGCUUGGCCCCUGCACAAGAAUGAUACAAACUCUUGAAGUAUUCCAUGUUUUU
rnacentral:snRNA from 1 species